CAAACAUACACAUACACAGACACGCCGCGUUUCGGAUAUUUUCUGAGAUAUGGCUCAUAAUUCCCAGGGAGCAACCCCGGUCCGAGGGAUGAAGGUUUUCCGGUUCGUAAAGCUUCGGUGGUUAGGGAAGACCAAGUGCCGUUCAAAUAGGGCGGCACCUGGACGGUACCUAACCAGAAAGCCACGGCUAACUACGUGCCAGCAGCCGCGGUAAUACGUAGGUGGCAAGCGUUGUCCGGAAUUAUUGGGCGUAAAGGGCUCGCAGGCGGUUUCUUAAGUCUGAUGUGAAAGCCCCCGGCUCAACCGGGGAGGGUCAUUGGAAACUGGGGAACUUGAGUGCAGAAGAGGAGAGUGGAAUUCCACGUGUAGCGGUGAAAUGCGUAGAGAUGUGGAGGAACACCAGUGGCGAAGGCGACUCUCUGGUCUGUAACUGACGCUGAGGAGCGAAAGCGUGGGGAGCGAACAGGAUUAGAUACCCUGGUAGUCCACGCCGUAAACGAUGAGUGCUAAGUGUUAGGGGGUUUCCGCCCCUUAGUGCUGCAGCUAACGCAUUAAGCACUCCGCCUGGGGAGUACGGUCGCAAGACUGAAACUCAAAGGAAUUGACGGGGGCCCGCACAAGCGGUGGAGCAUGUGGUUUAAUUCGAAGCAACGCGAAGAACCUUACCAGGUCUUGACAUCCUCUGACAAUCCUAGAGAUAGGACGUCCCCUUCGGGGGCAGAGUGACAGGUGGUGCAUGGUUGUCGUCAGCUCGUGUCGUGAGAUGUUGGGUUAAGUCCCGCAACGAGCGCAACCCUUGAUCUUAGUUGCCAGCAUUCAGUUGGGCACUCUAAGGUGACUGCCGGUGACAAACCGGAGGAAGGUGGGGAUGACGUCAAAUCAUCAUGCCCCUUAUGACCUGGGCUACACACGUGCUACAAUGGACAGAACAAAGGGCAGCGAAACCGCGAGGUUAAGCCAAUCCCACAAAUCUGUUCUCAGUUCGGAUCGCAGUCUGCAACUCGACUGCGUGAAGCUGGAAUCGCUAGUAAUCGCGGAUCAGCAUGCCGCGGUGAAUACGUUCCCGGGCCUUGUACACACCGCCCGUCACACCACGAGAGUUUGUAACACCCGAAGUCGGUGAGGUAACCUUUAUGGAGCCAGCCGCCGAAGUGGACAGAUGUGU
rnacentral:rRNA from 1 species